rnacentral:lncRNA from 1 species
CAGAGCCCGCCAGCCGCUAAGCCGGGGCCACACCUGGGGGUGAUUUCAUGCCUCACCUCCAGUAGGCACCUUGGUCUCUCUGGGCUAAUCUCUGGCUCUCUUGCGCUAACUCUUGCUCUCACCCAGCUAAUCCCUGCCUGGCCCUGACUGCCCCCCAGGGGCUGCCCACUACCAACCCACCUGGCCUGUCUUGGGGGCUUCAGGCUCCCCGCCUGGGUCUGACCAGCUCUUCAUUAACCUUUCCUUCACCGUGUGACUAACUCCUGCCUUCCUGGUCUGUCUGUUCCUUUCAGCAGAAACUAAUGGCUUGUGGAUUUCUUUCUGACUAACAACAGGUCUCACGUUCCUUGUUACUGUCAACAGCUUGGAUGUCGGCAUGGCUGGG